UUGUUUCGAGCAAAAGGAGAAUGUCACGAGAGGUAAAAUCGCACGGUAAGUUCAAUUGGUCAAUAAUAAUAUGCGUUUUAGACUGAUCUAGUUGUUUUGCAGGAUGUUUUCUUUUUUGCAGGAAUUAUUCUGUCGCUUCGGCCAGAAUCAGACUCUGAUAGUGAGUCAAUCUAUCCUGCCGCUUUUGCCUUGAUAGACUAGAGAUCAUUCUGUCGCUUUGGCCUUAAUGGUCUCAACCCGUCUUGC
rnacentral:lncRNA from 1 species